GACGAACGCUGGCGGCGUGCUUAACACAUGCAAGUCGAACGGAAAAAGACUAGCUUGUUCUUCUGUAUCAGACGCGAACGGGAGACGAACACGUUAGUAACCUCCCCCUGACUUUGGACUAAGCACUGGAAACUGCGUCUGAUACCGGCUACGCGACACAGCUGCAUGGCUACUGUGCGGUUGGUUUUUCGGUCUGGGAUGGACUCGCGGCCUAUCAGCUUGUUGGUGGGGUAACGGCUCACCAAGGCAACGACGGGUAGCCGGCCUGAGAGGGCGACCGGCCACACUGGGACUGAGACACGGCCCAGACUCCUACGGGAGGCAGCAGUGGGGAAUAUUGCACAAUGGGCGCAAGCCUGAUGCAGCGACGCCGCGUGAGGGAUGACGGCCUUCGGGUUGUAAACCUCUUUCAGCAGGGAAGAAGCGAAAGUGACGGUACCUGCAGAAGAAGCACCGGCUAACUACGUG
rnacentral:rRNA from 1 species